AUGGCGGAACUUAUUGAUCCAAUAACUAAUGGUUGGAACAAAGACCUAGUGUGCCAAACUUUGAAUGCAGAAGAUGCUAAGAUAAUCCUACAUAUCCCCAUUUAUGAGCAUACAAAGGACUGUGUGGCUUGGCACUUCGACAAGAAUGGGAUUUUUUCCGUGAAGUCGGCAUACAAAGUAGCAGUACAUUGUGCAGAAAGGGAAUCAAGAUAUGGCCAGCCAUCUAGCUCUGCAAGCAGAGGACAAACAACUAAUUUUAAAUGGAAGAAAAUAUGGGCCUUACCUCUCCCGAAUAAAAUUUUGCACUUCCUAUGGCGUAUGGCAACAUACAGCUUAUCUUUAAGAAUGAAAUUGAGGGAUAGAGGAGCAGGAAAUCUGGAACAUGUAUCCAAUGCUCUCCACGCCAAAGCCCUGGCCAUGUUAUAUGCAAUCAGCACUACUGCACAAACGAGAUGUAAUCAUGUGAUAUUUGAAACAGACUCCGUGGUGUUGAAGCAGGCGAUCUUAAGCGAGGAGUAUAACUUGUCGACUUUAGGUGCCAUGUUUCAGGAAAUAAAAUUUCAGUUGAAUGUGGCUUUUGAUGAUGUAAAUGUUAGUGUUUGUCCAAGAUCUUGUAAUGUAGCAGCUCACAGCCUAGCAGCACCUGGUCUCAUCGACCCGCAGCACCCAGCUGCAGAGUCACUGGACAAGCAGAAGCCAAAGCACACCAUCAUCAGCCGCAUCGAGAAGCAAACAGGGAACAUUGAUUCUGAAAAAACAAAAAAAAGCUGCAGCCAACAAAGGAAAAAACUGAUACAAACCAGUAAACCACGAAUUGCUCUCACAAAAGUUAAUCUCGUCAACCAAAGAUACUCUAGGAAGAAGAGAGAUUUCCAGCUUACAACAACUAGAUCAAGCAACCAACAAACUAGAUCAAACCACAUACUCACGGUGAUCAAGAUAUUGUGUGAAACUCUCUCAUAUCAGAUCCAUGGUAAAACUGAGAACCUUCAUUCAUGGAGCAUGCUACAGGACUGCACGGAUAACUGCAAUGGCCAUUUCAGAACAUAA
rnacentral:rRNA from 1 species